UACAGAGGUCUCAAGCGUUGUUCGGAUUCAUUGGGCGUAAAGGGUGCGUAGGCGGCGCGGUAAGUCGGGUGUGAAAUCUCGGAGCUUAACUCCGAAACUGCAUUCGAUACUGCCGUGCUUGAGGACUGGAGAGGAGACUGGAAUUUACGGUGUAGCGGUGAAAUGCGUAGAGUAUCGUAAGGAACACCGGUGGCGAAGGCGGCGACCUGGGUCGACACUGACGCUGAGGCGCGAAAGCGUGGGGAGCAAACAGG
rnacentral:rRNA from 1 species